AAGACGGAAUUUUAAAUUUUGGCCUCUGCUCUCUAUCCCCUCUCUGACACGCCUCUGCUCUCUCUCCCCCCCUUUGCCUUGCCCGUUCCCUCUCCUUCCUUGCCCUCGCCCAUACUCUCUCUCCUAAAAAAUGCAGGAAAGUAUCCCAUUAUUUCAUUCAAGUUCAUGAUGGAAGAAGCACAAGAUAGAAGACACCUUUUUUGGUUGAAGAUUGAAUGGAGGAGUGCCUCUUUGAGAACCUAUUAUUUCAUUCAAAUUCAAAGCUACUCUCAAAAUCUGGAUUUUGAAUAUGGUAUUUGAGGAAGCAAUAUUUGAGGAAGCAAUCUCCUAAAAAAUGCAGGAAAGUAUCCCAUUAUUUCAUUCAAGUUCAUGAUGGAAGAAGCACAUGAUAGAAGACACCUUUGUUUGGUUGAAGAUUGAAUGGAGGAGUGCCUCUUUGAGAACCUAUUAUUUCAUUCAAAUUCAAAGCUACUCUCAAAAUCUGGAUUUUGAAUAUGCUACCAGGGACUAUAUCAUUUCCAAGUCAAUGUGCUUAUGUGGUGCUACUUAUGUCAUGGCAAAUGAUCAACUCCCUAAUAUGACUCUUACGGAUACCAUCAAUCGCAUCCUGAAGUCGAACAUGAACAGUGGAGAAAAUGGUGGGAGCUGGGUACAAUGUAUAUAUUCUACAAUGUGAUAUACUUCCAUUUUGCAAUAACAUCUUUAUCUAAUUCCAUAGGAUAGGUUUGGCAUGCCCAAGAUGUUCAACAGCAGAGGAGCCAUAGAAGAAUUGUCAUAAGAGUGUGAUGAUGAAGAUCCUAGAGUUACAAUUAGCAUCAAGAAGCCAAAGUGGUGCAUUUUGAAUGGGGAACAAAGAUAGUUUGUAUGGGACAACAAAAGUAGGAGGCUCUAGUUUGAAGUGUGGUGAUGAAGUUAUGGGGUUUCAAAGUUAUCAAGUCAAAGGCAUGAUACCUUUAAGCAUAUGUAUUUUCAAGGGCAAAAAUUAUUUUUGGGAGAGGAAGUGAUGGAACAAUGUUGUAAUCAUAUUAUUUGAAUUUUAUAUGAGCAAUGUUAGUGGAGA